rnacentral:rRNA from 1 species
UGCAAGUCGAGCGGACAGAUGGGAGCUUGCUCCCUGAUGUUAGCGGCGGACGGGUGAGUAACACGUGGGUAACCUGCCUGUAAGACUGGGAUAACUCCGGGAAACCGGGGCUAAUACCGGAUGCUUGUUUGAACCGCAUGGUUCAAACAUAAAAGGUGGCUUCGGCUACCACUUACAGAUGGACCCGCGGCGCAUUAGCUAGUUGGUGAGGUAACGGCUCACCAAGGCAACGAUGCGUAGCCGACCUGAGAGGGUGAUCGGCCACACUGGGACUGAGACACGGCCCAGACUCCUACGGGAGGCAGCAGUAGGGAAUCUUCCGCAAUGGACGAAAGUCUGACGGAGCAACGCCGCGUGAGUGAUGAAGGUUUUCGGAUCGUAAAGCUCUGUUGUUAGGGAAGAACAAGUACCGUUCGAAUAGGGCGGUACCUUGACGGUACCUAACCAGAAAGCCACGGCUAACUACGUGCCAGCAGCCGCGGUAAUACGUAGGUGGCAAGCGUUGUCCGGAAUUAUUGGGCGUAAAGGGCUCGCAGGCGGUUCCUUAAGUCUGAUGUGAAAGCCCCCGGCUCAACCGGGGAGGGUCAUUGGAAACUGGGGAACUUGAGUGCAGAAGAGGAGAGUGGAAUUCCACGUGUAGCGGUGAAAUGCGCAGAUAUCGGGGGGAACACCCAC